UUGCUUCAGCAGCACACAUACUAAAAUUGGAACAAUACAGAGGAGAUUAGCAUGGCCCCUGCACAAGGAUGACACACAAAUUCGUGAAGGAUUCCAUAUUUUC
ensembl:snRNA U6 U6 spliceosomal RNA